rnacentral:misc_RNA from 1 species
UCCGGCUUAUCACCGGCAGUUUCUUUAGAGUGCCUAACUGAAUGCUGGCAACUAAAGACGAGGGUUGCGCUUGUUGCUCCACUUAAGGCAACACCUCACGGCACGAGCUGACGACAGCCAUGCACCACCUGUGCAGGCUCCGAAGAGCACCCGCUUUCACGGGUUUCACCCUGCAUGUCAAGCCCAGGUAAGGUUCUUCGCGUCGCAUCGAAUUAAUCCACAUGCUCCGCCGCUUGUGCGGGCCCCCGUCAAUUUCUUUGAGUUUUAGCCUUGCGGCCGUACUCCCCAGGCGGGGUACUUAAUGCGUUAGCUACGGCACGGAUCCCAAGGAAGGAAACCCACACCUAGUACCCACCGUUUACGGCGUGGACUAC